rnacentral:tRNA from 1 species
CUGGGGAUGAGCUCAGUGGGAGAGCACUUGCCUAGUAUGCAUGAGGUCCUGGGUUCGACCCCCUGCCUACACA